CAACACUGCUGGCCCCUGCUUCUACCACUUCUACGUCCCCUGUUGGGUACUGCUCAUACUACUACUAUUGCCAAUACAACUACUUCUUCCCGUCUUAUCUUCCCUUACACUGUUAUAUCGUCUUAUCAUUUUUUUCACUCUCCUUUAAUGCUGCUACUAUUCAUAUUGCCUGCUACUACUACUACUACUACUACUACUACUACUACUACUACUACUACUACUACUACUACUACUACUACUACCACCACCACUAUUACCAUAUUAUUUUUUCUUUUCCUCUAAUGUAUCGUCUUUUUAUCUCUCCCUUUUCACUCCUCGCCCUUCUGGUUCCCCUCCCAUUACUAGCAUUUCUACAUCUGUAUUUCCUCACCAGCCCUCUUGUUCUCUUCCUGUUCACUUUCCUCGUGUCCAUCAUUCUUCUGUCCAUACUUCUCUUUCUUUUAUUCCUCAUUCUUUGCUACAUCUUUCACCUUCUACUAGUCUUUUAGCCUUUCAUUUCCUACUCUCUCUCUCUCUCUCUCUCUCUCUCUCUCUCUCUCUCUCUCUCUCUCUCUCUCUCUCUCUCUCUCUCUCUCUCUCUCUCUCUCUCUCUCUCUCUCCUUGCGUCAUGUUUUUCCUUCUCCCUUUCAUUUUCUUCUCUUUCUUCCUUCUCUCUCUUCAUUCUUUUCUUUACGAUUCUGUUCUUUAUUCUUCAAUUCCUCUUCUCUCUACAGUUUCUACAUCUUUCUAUUCCUCCUCCUCCUCCUCUUCCUCUUCUUCUUUUGCCUUCUUCACGAUUGUUCCUCCCUGCCACCUUGACCUUUAUAUCUCUAGAUUGUGUUUAUUGUCAAAAAUCUUCAUUAAUUUUUCCUUUCCUAUUCUUCUCAGUGUAAAGGUAAACAAUAACAAUGUUUUUUUGUGGUAUUUCCUCGUUUACCAGUUAUUGUUUAUGGAUUUAUGGUGUUUGGUAAAGAGGGAGGAAGUCAUUUACGCAUCUAUUGGCAGUCCCAGCGUAUAUAUAUUUAGGCAAUUGCAUAAUAUAGGCGUGUUCUCAGUAGGCUGGCGUCACAAGGCAAGCCAGCCAGCCAGCCAGCCAACCAGUCAGCCAGGCCUCGCUACGGUACAUUGGCAUCGCUAUCAGUACUGCCUGGCUGCGGUGACGGUACGGUUCAUUCAUAGCUACUGGUGUUGUUGCCAUCGUUACUUGCUAAAAAUUAAGUAACAAAUACAUGACUAAAGCAAACAAAUAAAUUGAUUAAUUAGUAAAUAAAAAAUACAGUGCACUGCCAUUUCAUUCACACUUCAUUAUCGUCAUUGUUUUCAUAGUUUGUUAUUGUUGUUAUUAUUAUUAUUAUUAUUAUUAUUAUUAUUAUUAUUAUUAUUAUUAUAUAUUAUCAUUAUUAUUAUUAUUAUUAUUAUUAUUAUUAUUAUUAUUAUUAUUAUUAUUGGUUAGCUACGGUGCAUAUCAUUCAUUCAUCAUCAAGUACUAUUAUUGUUGGCAAGCUACGGUACAGUUUCAUCGUUAUUAUUACCUAGCUACGGUACAGUUCAUUCAGUUUGUCAUCAUUGUUGUAAAUGUCCGUAUUACUAGCUAACUACGGCACAUACACUUCAUUCAUAGUUACUGCCAUCGCCACCGCAAUCAUUUUCUCCGAUCAUCGUCAUCAUCACUGGCAAGCUACGGUACACAUCAGUCUCAUAAAACUGUACACGCCUUGACAAUUUGUGUGUGUGUGUGUGUGUGUGUGUGUGAUUCACCUACGUUCGUCUGGUGGUCAUCCAGCCAGCUGUUCCCUUAUGGAAAGAGCUCAGAGCUCAUAGUGAGCUCUAAGCUCUUUGUGUGUGUGUGUUGUGUGUGUGUGUAAAAACUCCACGUAUAUCAAUAUAGAUACACACCAAACAGUAUAUUAAACUUGAGUGCCUUUAAACGCAGAGAUAACUUGGGGAGAUAAGAGAGAGAGAGAGAGAGAGAGAGAGAGAGAGAGAGAGAGAGAGAGAACUUCAAGGUCAACAUUAAGUUAUACAGACUAACAGAUUUUACGUAUCAACUUAUUACUUCAUUCAAUUAUUGGGUUAAUUAAUUAGGUGUGUGUGUGUGUGUGUGUGUGUGUGUGUGUGUGUGUGUGUGUGUGUGUGAAGAGAGAGAGAGAGAGUUACAUGAAUACGUUCUUGAGAAGCAGCACGCCUUUCAUUUCUGUCACUAUAUAACUUCCUACAUAGUCACUUUUCACUUUAGCAUUCCUUGUUGGUAUGUCUUAAUAUUCCUCAGAGUGUGCGUUGGUCGGAGCAAGGCAAUGUGGUAAUGAUUGUUCGUAGCUAGGUUAGGUUAGGCUAGGUGGCUCUGUUUGUUUGUUUGUACAUAGGUAGAUUAGAUUAGGUUAGGUUAGCUGGGUUAGGUUGGUUAAUUUAUGGGUUUGUUUGUUUGUUAGAUCAGUUAGGUUAGGCUAGGUGGCUCUGUUUGUUUGUUUGUUUGUACGUAGGUAGAUUAGAUUAGGUUAGGUUAGCUGGGUUAGGUUGGUUAAUUUAUGGGUUUGUUUGUUUGUUAGAUCAGUUAGGUUAGGUUAGGUUAGGCUAGGUGGCUCUGUUUGUUUGUUUGUUUGUACAUAGGUAGAUUAGAUUAGGUUAGGUUAGCUGGGUUAGGUUGGUUAAUUUAUGGGUUUGUUUGUUUGUUAGAUCAGUUAGGUUAGGUUAGGUUAGGCUAGGUGGCUCUGUCUGUUUGUUUGUUUGUACGUAGGUAGAUUAGAUUAGGUUAGGUUAGCUAGGUUAGGUUGGUUAAUUUAUGGAUUUGUUUGUUAGAUCAGUUAGAUUAGGUUGCACAUUUGUUUGUUUGUGUAUAAGUAGAUUGGAUUAGGUAAGUUUAGUUCACAGGUUUGUUUGUUAGGUCAGGUCAGGUUAGGUUGGUUAGGUUAGGUCAGGUUAGGUUGGUGAAGUUAUUUAAUUCAUAGCUUUGUUUGUCACAUGUUAUUAAGUUAGGUUAGUUAUUUCUUAGCUUUGUCAGGUCGUUAGGUUCGUGGUUAGGGUAUGCUAGGUGAUGACAUACUUAGUUGAUUGGUUUGUUAGGUAAUUUAGUUUAGGUUAGUUUGUUUCCUCGUUAGUAAGGUAGAUCAGGUCAGGUUGGUUAAUUAGUGGGUUAGGAUAGUUAGUAAGAUAGGUUAGGUUAGCUGGGUUAGGUUAGGUUAGGUUAGUUAGUAAGAUAGGUUAGGUUAGCUGAGUUAGGUUGGUUAAUUCAUGGGUUUGUUUGCUUGUUAGGUCAGCAUGGGUGGUUGGAGUCAGAGAUACAUAGGUUUAGUUAGCUGGUUAGGUUAGGUAGCUAGUCGGUUAGUUUGUUUGUUUGUUGGUUAUUCAGUCUGUUAAUUACUUAAUUGGGUAUUUAUUCAUUUAUUUAUAUAGUUUAUUAAUUUGUUAGGUAGGUAAUUACAGUUUAUUUAUUUAUUCAUUUAAUUGUUAGUUAGUUUAGAUAGUUAGGUAGGUAUGUAGGCAAGUAGAGUUAGGUAAAGUUACGAUAGGUUUAAUUGGUUGGAUAGUGAAGUAGGUAGUUAAUUAGCUAGAUUAGGUUAGGUAGGUAGAAUUAUUUAGUGUAGUUUAUUUAGGUUAGUAUAGUUAAUUGAUUAGAUAGGUAGGUAGGUAGGUAAGUAGAUGGUUAGAUUAGGUUAGGUAAGUUAUUUAGUUCUGUUAAAUAAAGUUAAGCAAGGUAUCACUCAGGUGUGGGACAUGCAGGAAGUACUGACAGUUGAACACUUUCUUGAACCAAAGUGGAGCUCCUACAGUGUGGUAUGAAUGUAUGUAGGUAUAUAUUUGGUUUUAUUCUUUUUUUUUUCAUAAUUCCUGGCUUGAAAUGUUUUAUUAUUAUUGUUAUUAUUGUUAUUAUUAUUAUUAUUAUUAUUAUUAUUAUUAUUAUUAUUAUUAUUAUUAUUAUUAUUUUUAUUAUUAUUAUUAUUCAGUUUUAUUUUAUUUAUAUACUUUACUUUUUUUAUGUAAGAGGGACACUGGCUUAGGGCAACAAAAUGAGAGAGAGAGAGAGAGAGAGAGAGAGAGAGAGAGAGAGAGAGAGAGAGAGAGAGAGAGAGAGAGAGAGAACCCUGUUGAUGAUGCCAAUUCCCAAUACAGCACCAUACAUUUCAGAAAGAACCUUGUGAUAAGCAAUGUAUAAGGUAAUAAAAUGAUAACUAUACAAUGCUUAAUGUUUACUAAUACACUUGUGUGAAUCAUAACAGCCAUUACAGAUAAGUGCGGGCAAUUUCUUCUUGAUAACCUCUAUAUUACUGAUAUUUCUCACACCAAUCAGCAGUUAAUAGUAUAAUGUCGGUGCACUGCAUUUAGAAGCCCUGCAGCUCAUUGUGGCAAUGUUACACCUGUGGUGGGUUUAUGUGCAUGUCUUAUAUCUGUGUGUGUGUGUGUGUGUGUGUGUGUGUGUGUGUGUGUGUGUGUGUGUGUGUGUGUGUGUGGCAGUGAUGUGGAGUCAGAGUAAGAAGCAAUGUGGUGCUGUUGGAGUCAGAGUCAGUAUGUCCUGUCUCUGAUUGACUAUGACUCCACAGCCCUGUAUUCUAAGUAUGUAUGGGUGUGAUGUGUGUGUGUGUGUGUGUGUGUGUGCGCGCCUUUUUUUUAGGAGUUAUAAUUAGCUUUGAACUCUGUCUAGGAAAGCAAUGCAUAGAGGCCAGAAACAGGGCAAAUAGGGUAUUAGGAUUAAUUUUUUGUAGUGUUAAAAGUAGUAGGCCCAAAGAAAUAUUAAAGUUAUAUUUGGUGCUGGUCAGACCUCAUCUAGAUUCCACUGUGCAGUUCUGGUCCCUACGUUACAGGAAGGAUACAGGUCUAUUAGAAUCUGUACAAAGGAGAAUGACAAAGGAUACAGGGGAUGAGGAGUAUUCCUUAUGAGGUGAGAUUGAAGUUGUUAAAUUUACAUUCUUUAGAGAGAGACGUAGGUUAAGAGGGGACCUGAUUGAAGUUUUUAAGUGGUAUAAGGGUUAUAACAAGGGGGAUGUAAGCAAAAUUCUUAGGAUCAGCAACCAGGUUAGAACAAGAAAUAAUGGGUUCAAGCUUGAAAAAUUUAGGUUUAAGAAAGAGAUAGGAAGAAAUUGGGUCACAAAUAGAGUGGUAAAUGAGUGGAAUGGACUCAGUAAUCAAGUUGUUAGUGCUAAGACAUUAGGGAGCUUUAAGAGAAGAUUAGACAGGUUUAUGGAUAGGGAUGAUAGUGAAAAUGCAGGGACUGCCACGUGUAAGCCUGGUAGCUUCUUGCAGCUUCCCUUAUUUCUUAUGUUCUUAUGUUCUUAUGUUUAUUAAUUAAUUAAUUAAUUAAUUAUUUGUUUAUUCAUUUAUUUAUUUAUUUAUUUAUUUUAUUUUAUUUUAUUUUAUUUUAUUUUAUUUAUUUAUUUUUGUGAAAUUCUUGAGUAUUUUUUGUUUUUGUGCAUUUUUGGGAUGUGUGUUUUCUGGGAAUUAUUGGGUAUUUAAGCAUGUUUUUGGGGAAUUAUUGGGUAUUUAAGCAUGUUUUUUGGGAAUUAUUAGAGUACUUCAGCGUGUUUUCUGGGAAAUAUUGGAUAUUUAAUUGUGUUUCCUGGGAAUUAUUGUACCUAGGAGACAGAGACAGAGUUGGGGUUGGGUGUUUUGGGUACUUGACUGCACAGGCCUGGUAUCUGGUGGCUGGGGACUGAGUAUGGUAUAGUUUGAAUUAUUGUACACAGAUUACUGUCUUUAUAUUGAGAUCUAUCUGAUAAUGUUCAUUCAUCCAUACAUAGUUGGGAAUAUAUUUUUACAGGAAUAUACUUUUUUUUAUGAAAGGGGAAUACUCAUUUAAGUCUGUCAGUAGCAUAAGUUUUGUUUUUGUGAUAUUAUCCAGCUUAUGUGUUUACUAUUUGUCUGUAAAGGAAACUAUUUUAAUGUAUAAAUCCUUACUGUGUGUAAACAUUUUAUUUUUUAUUGUGUAAAUGAAUUUUGUACAACAUGUGCCUCUUGUUUUGUGGUUUUAAAGUGAAUGGUUGUUGUAAAAAUGUUGUUAUAUAGUUAUUAUAAUUUUGACAAAAAAAAAUGUAAUGUAUUUAGCAGAAAAGUACCUGUGGUCAAUAAAACUGUAUCUAUCUAUCUGUCUGUCUAUCUAUCUAUCCAUCUAUCUAUUCACCUACCUACACUCAAGCUAGAAAGUCAUGGAAAGAGAGAGAGAGAGAGAGAGAGAGAGAGAGAGAGAGAGAGAGAGAGAGAGAGAGAGAGAGAGAAUGGUGAGCAAAUAGCCAAAAGGUGUGAAUUGUUGUAGUUGAUCCCUUUCCUUCAAGUCAACCGGUGCCUUUCAUCUAGAAGCUUUUACAUGCUGAUAAGUUAGUCCACCAAGGAUUAGAGGAGGCGGAAGGCCGAGUGGAAAAAAGGCACACACAUUGGCUCCAUCACUUCCUAGGUCCAGGGUACAUUACUGUAACUAUCCACAUGACUUGGCAUCAAGCUGUAUAAUUGAGCUAUAUGAGUAUUUAAAAGCCCAGGACCUCACAUCAGUAUUGCAAUUAAGUAUUAUAUCAGUACUUACAUUUACAUUAUUUAUAGUAUACACACCCACAUAUCAGGCUGCCAGUGCUGAGUCAUUAUGGAGCUUUUAAAAAACUAGACAGAUUUAUAGAUAAGGAUGAGAGGUGGAAAUAAAGAGACAUGCUUCAUACAGGGACUGCCACAUGUAGACCUGGUGGCUUUUUGCAGCUUCCCUUAGUGUGUGGGGAAGAGAAGUGAGAAAUAAACACAGUGGAAGAGUGAAGUGUUGGAGAGAUGCUGUUGGUGUGUUAGGGCUGCCUGUGACUGGUGUGUUGUUGCCAGCAUCCCUAUCAUAAUUUGGUGGCUUCUGGUGGUGCUGGUGGGAGGUGGUGGUGCUUCUGCUUUUGCAUGAUAUAGAUAGAUAGACAGAUAGUUUUAUUGACCACAUAGAUAGACAGAUAGUUUUAUUGAUCACAUAGAUAGACAGAUAGUUUUAUUGACCACAUAGAUGGACAGAUAGUUUUAUUGCUUAACUCUGACUGCUGUUUGGUACAUCUUUUCAUGAUUACGUAUAAUUAUUUUUGAGACGUCUUCACUUUUUCUGCAGUCAUAUCCAAUCUUUAAACUGGGUAGAAAUUGCAAAAUCUAUUCUUUUCAGCCCCCAACUUUCUUGUAGAUGCUUAUAAAGAUUUCAUGCAUUGCUUCUGCUGUUGUUACUUGUUUUGUAUUGCAAUGAAAGGAUUAACAGAUACAUUGCAAUACAUUUUUUUCCUCGGUCCAAAUUACAAAGACUAUAUGUUACAAGCUUUACAACAACCAUUCAUUGUAAAAACCACAAAAUAAGAAGCACAUGUUGUAUAAGAUUCAUUUACAUAAUAAAAAAAAUUACAAAAUAAAGAUUUACAGGGACUGCCAGGCAUCGUGUGAGGAAAGUGAUAUGAUAUGUAACUAAUGGGGAAAAUAGAAGGGUUACUGAAUUUGAAAUGUUAAAUUGCACUAUGUAUUUUGUCCUUAAGUCUAUUUAUGCCUGUGGUGAGCGAAUAAUACUAGUUACUAUGGGUUAUCCUUCUUUAUUAACCUCAACUUUGAAUGUAAAAUCUAAAACAAUAGAUAUGCAAAAAAAAAAAUAAAUAAAUAAAUAAAAUAAAAAUCUGGGUAGAACAGUUUUAUCUUUGUUUAUUGAUCUCAACUUUGAAAAUGAAAGCUAAAAAAAAAAUAGAUGUCCAGAAAAAAAAAGAGAAGGAAAAAGAAAGAAUCUGGCCAGAACAGUUCAUCUUUGUUUAUUAUUCUUAACUUUAAACAUAAAAGCUAAAAACAAUAAAAAUGCAAAAAAAAAAAAAAAAAAAAAAAAA